AUUGAACGCUGGCGGCAGGCCUAACACAUGCAAGUCGAGCGAGAAAGGCCUUCGGGCUGAGUACAGCGGCGGACGGGUGAGUAACGCGUAGGAAUCUACCUGGUAGUGGGGGACAACAUGGGGAAACUCAUGCUAAUACCGCAUACGCCCUAUGGGGGAAAGCGGGGGACCUUCGGGCCUCGCGCUAUCAGAUGAGCCUGCGUAGGAUUAGCUUGUUGGUGAGGUAAAGGCUCACCAAGGCGACGAUCCUUAGCUGGUCUGAGAGGAUGAUCAGCCACACUGGAACUGAGACACGGUCCAGACUCCUACGGGAGGCAGCAGUGGGGAAUAUUGCGCAAUGGGCGAAAGCCUGACGCAGCCAUGCCGCGUGUGUGAAGAAGGCCUUAGGGUUGUAAAGCACUUUCAAUUGGGAAGAAAGGUUGCGUGUU
rnacentral:rRNA from 1 species